AGAGUUUGAUUCCUGGGCUCAGGACGAACGCUGGCGGCGUGCUUAACACAUGCAAGUGGAGCGACGAACCAGGCUUCGGCCUGGGGCAGAGCCGCGAACGGGUGAGUAACACGUGGGUAACGUGCCCCGAUGACUGGGACAACCCGGGGAAGCCCGGGCUAAUACCGGAUAUGCCCCCUCACGCGAGUGAGGUGUGUAAAGGAAGCUUCGGCUCCGCAUCGGGAUCGGCCCGCGGCCCAUUAGCUUGUUGGUGAGGUAACGGCUCACCAAGGCUGCGAUGGGUAGCUGGUCUGAGAGGACGAUCAGCCACACUGGGACUGAGACACGGCCCAGACUCCUACGGGAGGCAGCAGUGGGGAAUCUUGCGCAAUGCGCGAAAGCGUGACGCAGCAACGCCGCGUGGGGGAAGAAGGCCUUCGGGUUGUAAACCCCUUUCAGUUGGGACGAAGGUCGGGCGGUGAAUAGCCGUUCCGUCUGACGGUACCUUCACAAGAAGCCCCGGCUAACUACGUGCCAGCAGCCGCGGUAAUACGUAGGGGGCAAGCGUUGUCCGGAAUCAUUGGGCGUAAAGAGCGUGUAGGCGGCCCGAUAAGUCCGCUGUGAAAGUCGAGGGCUCAACCCUCGAAUGCCGGCGGAUACUGUCGGGCUAGAGUCCGGAAGAGGCGAGUGGAAUUCCUGGUGUAGCGGUGAAAUGCGCAGAUAUCAGGAGNGAACACCAACGGCGAAGGCAGCUCGCUGGGACGGUACUGACGCUGAGACGCGAAAGCCGUGGGGAGCAAACAGGACUUAGAUACCCUGGUAGUCCAACGCC
rnacentral:rRNA from 1 species